UCAACAGGAAAACAUCUUGAAGCUAUUGAUCAAAAUUCCUUAAAGCAAGAUUUAAAAAAAACAAUAAAUAUUGAUAAAAAAGAACAGAAAAAUCGACUUGUAGAAAAACAAGAGAAGCCAAUAAAACUAGCUAAAGUUUUUUUAACUAGAUCUAAGGCAAAACUUGAGGCUAGUGUUGGAAGUAGCACUCCAAUCAGUUUGAAUAAACAAGUUCCAGAAAUUGCAAAUGAAAGUCUUGAAAAUCAUUCUUCUACUGAAUAUGAAAGCAAUUCAAGCGAAUCGGAGUUUGAAUUUAAAACUAAUGUUAACCAAAUUAAUAAAACUAAAAAAAGUUUUGUCUCAGGUAUAACUUUUAUUGCACAAGUCAAAGUUUUGUAAUUUAUAUCUGUAUUACUUAUUUUAAGUUAUUUUUACUUAUUUUAAAGACUUUAAUUUUAAUGGUCGCAUUAAAUUAAAAAAAAAUGAUUUAUUUAAGAUUACAUUAAACUAAACAUAUCAUUAAAAAAAAAAUUCUGUAGCUGCUGAAGUGGAGGUGUUAAAUGUGUUAUUUCCCUGCCCCCACAAUUUAAAAGUAGAAAAGAGAACCUAAUAAUGAAAUGAUUAUCCUUAUUUAUAACCUUGGAUUAGCUCCCUUACUAUAAAUAUCAACUGAUAUUUAAAGUGGGGAAGCCAAAUUAGUUAUUUUCAUAUUUUUUUGUUAUUAACAGUUUUUUAU